rnacentral:rRNA from 1 species
ACUCCUACGGGAGGCAGCAGUGGGGAAUAUUGCACAAUGGGGAAACCCUGAUGCAGCCAUGCCGCGUGUGUGAAGAAGGCCUUCGGUUGUAAAGCACUUUCAGUAGGGAGGAAGGUAGUGUAGUUAACACCUGCACUAUUUGACGUUACCUACAGAAGAAGCACCGGCUAACUCCGUGCCAGCAGCCGCGGUAAUACGGAGGGGUGCGAGCGUUAAUCGGAAUUACUGGGCGUAAAGCGCAUGCAGGCGGCCUGUUAAGUCAGAUGUGAAAGCCCGGGGGCUUAACCUCGGAAUUGCAUUUGAAACUGGCAGGCUAGAGUCUUGUAGAGGGGGUAGAAUUUCAGGUGUAGCGGUGAAAUGCGUAGAGAUCUGAAGGAAUACCAGUGGCGAAGGCGGCCCCCUGGACAAAGACUGACGCUCAGAUGCGAAAGCGUGGGGAGCAAACAGGAUUAGAUACCCUGGUAGGAUAGCG